AACAUUGCACAAUGGGCGAAAGCCUGAUGCCGCAACGCCGCGUGAGUGAAGAAGGCAUUCGGGUCGUAAAGCUCUUUGCUCAGGGAUGAUAAUGACAGGACCUGAAAAACAACCAACGGCCAACUACGUGACAGCAGCCGCGGUAAUACGUAGGUGGCGAGCGUUGUCCGGAAUUACUGGGCGUAAAGGAUGCGUAGGUGGAUACUUAAGUGGGAUGUGAAAUCCCCGGGCUCAACCCGGGAACUGCAUUCCAAACUGGGUAUCUAGAGUGCAGGAGAGGAAAGCGGAAUUCCUAGUGUAGCGGUGAAAUGCGUAGAUAUUAGGAGGAACACCAGUGGCGAAGGCGGCUUUCUGGACUGUAACUGACACUGAGGCAUGAAAGCGUGGGUAGCAAACAGG
rnacentral:rRNA from 1 species